rnacentral:rRNA from 1 species
ACAUGCCUACAACAUAACGUUAAUGCACUGGAUCAAAUUAGAUCUCUACAGUAAAGCACGUUGAGGCUAGAGUAGUACUGGGAUGGGUGAUCGCCUGAGAAAUCCUAGUGUUUUACAUGCC